UUUUGACUGAUGCUGCAGAGUCAGGAGGGGAAGUGCCCAAAAAGGAUCAAGGAACAAGAACUACCUAGCAGCAUCAAAAGCCAAAGUUAAGAUCAUUUCUCUGCCAGGUGAUGACUAACAGAAAGUGUGCUUUUAUAGUCUGUAA